AAUUAAUCAAUAUAAUUGAAUCCAACUAGUUAACCAAAAAAAUAAAAAGACAACAAACGAAACAAACAAGUGAAUAAAAAAACUCAGGUAAAUCGAUAUUUACAAUUCUGUUUCAAGUAUGUCUCAGAUUAUUUAAUCAAACUGUGCACAUCCCAAUAGAAUUCUUAAAGGAAUUGAUGCUAAUAAAGUUGAAAAAUGUCUGCUUAUGAAAGCCAAUACCGAUUUGUCAUACAGAUUUGCUUAUGAAAGCUCCACAAAAAUCAUGAAUAGAGAGAUGAUCAUCAUAUUGGAUUAUAAACUUUGAUGAUUUGUUGGCCAAGUAGAAAACAUUAUCCUUGUUAGGAGUUAAUGAUAGCGACCAAGUUCCUCAUGUUACUGAUAACGGUGCUUGAAGUGUGUGGUUGCAGAAAUUGGAUUGAAAAAACUAGUUUGGAUGCCUCUUAAGAAGACCAAUAAGAAAAACGACAAUGAAUCCUGAAAAUCUGGUAGGUCAAAACUACAUUCAUUCCCUAAUCAUUUGCUUCAACAAAAGAACCACCAAAAUCACAAAGCACAUAAAUUCACAAAUUGUUCAUUACAUUGUAGUGAUUUAUCAAAUGACAUCCCUGUAUGUUUUGUAUAAUAUCAAUAUGCAUGGAUAUAAAAUCUGCCAUCCCAACAUAAAUCCAAUUGAAUUUUUCACAUAAUAAAGCAUAAGUAUUGAUUCUCAAGGCAAAAUAUGAGGUAAUGACAUUAU
rnacentral:misc_RNA from 1 species